UGGCGGACGGGUGAGUAAUGUCUGGGAAACUGCCUGAUGGAGGGGGAUAACUACUGGAAACGGUAGCUAAUACCGCAUAACGUCGCAAGACCAAAGAGGGGGACCUUCGGGCCUCUUGCCAUCGGAUGUGCCCAGAUGGGAUUAGCUUGUAGGUGGGGUAAAGGCUCACCUAGGCGACGAUCCCUAGCUGGUCUGAGAGGAUGACCAGCCACACUGGAACUGAGACACGGUCCAGACUCUUACGGGAGGCAGCAGUGGGGAAUAUUGCACAAUGGGCGCAAGCCUGAUGCAGCCAUGCCGCGUGUAUGAAGAAGGCCUUCGGGUUGUAAAGUACUUUCAGCGGGGAGGAAGGGAGUAAAGUUAAUACCUUUGCUCAUUGACGUUACCCGCAGAAGAAGCACCGGCUAACUCCGUGCCAGCAGCCGCGGUAAUACGGAGGGUGCAAGCGUUAAUCGGAAUUACUGGGCGUAAAGCGCACGCAGGCGGUUUGUUAAGUCAGAUGUGAAAUCCCCGGGCUCAACCUGGGAACUGCAUCUGAUACUGGCAAGCUUGAGUCUCGUAGAGGGGGGUAGAAUUCCAGGUGUAGCGGUGAAAUGCGUAGAGAUCUGGAGGAAUACCGGUGGCGAAGGCGGCCCCCUG
rnacentral:rRNA from 1 species